UAUGUUAUUUCAAGUAAGAAGCAGUGCCAAUGUCUUAAAUGGGGAAAAAAACACAUAUGGAAAUUGAAGCCGAUCAAAAUUACGCAUCCAGGAUCUGCUGUAUUUCUCCUUUGAGAAUUCAUAACAGCAACAGAUAUCUUAGAUGUAAGGCCUGUUCAGAGGUCCCUCCCAGGUCCAACAUGCCAAGGCCUCCUUGUUGGACUCCUUGUGCAGCAGUAUUUCUUACUGAAAUAAUCUUUUUCUCCUAAGGUUCUGUCAAGCUAGACACUU